rnacentral:rRNA from 1 species
UACGGGGGGUGCAAACGUUGCUCGGAAUUAUUGGGCGUAAAGCGCACGUAGGCGGUCCUGUAAGUCGGGUGUGAAAGCCCCAGGCUUAACCUGGGAAGUGCACUCGAAACUGUAGGGCUUGAGUAUGGAAGAGGGUCUCGGAAUUCCCGGUGUAGAGGUGAAAUUCGUAGAUAUCGGGAGGAACACCAGUGGCGAAGGCGGGUCUCUGGGCCGUAACUGACGCUGAGGAGCGAAAGCGUGGGGAGCGAACAGG